AACUCGAUAAAUUCCCGUGUGUCU
rnacentral:siRNA from 1 species